rnacentral:misc_RNA from 1 species
GUUCCGUAGGUGAACCUGCGGAAGGAUCAUUCAUAAUAAAGUGUUUUAUGGCACUUUUUAAAAAUCCAUAUCCACCUUGUGUGCAAUGUUAGAUCUCGUCAAUCUUGGCGAGAUUUUUAUACAUCAACUCAUUCUUUAACUAAUUUGUCUGAAAAAUAUUAUGAAUACUUAAUUCAAAAUACAACUUUCAACAACGGAUCUCUUGGCUCUC